rnacentral:rRNA from 1 species
GGUAACGGCCACCAAGGCGACGAUCAGUAGCCGGACUGAGAGGUUGAACGGCCACAUUGGGACUGAGACACGGCCCAGACUCCUACGGGAGGCAGCAGUGGGGAAUAUUGCGCAAUGGGGGCAACCCUGACGCAGCAACGCCGCGUGAUUGAUGAAGGUCUUCGGAUUGUAAAAAUCUUUAAUCAGGGACGAAACAAAUGACGGUACCUGAAGAAUAAGCUCCGGCUAACUAC